AAUGAACGCUGGCGGCAGGCCUAACACAUGCAAGUCGAGCGAAGUCUUCGGACUUAGCGGCGGACGGGUGAGUAACGCGUGGGAACAUGCCCUUUGGUGCGGAAUAGCCCCGGGAAACUGGGAGUAAUACCGCAUGUGCCCUUCGGGGGAAAGAUUUAUCGCCAAAGGAUUGGCCCGCGUUGGAUUAGGUAGUUGGUGGGGGAAUGGCCUACCAAGCCGACGAUCCAUAGCUGGUUUGAGAGGAUGAUCAGCCACACUGGGACUGAGACACGGCCCAGACUCCUACGGGAGGCAGCAGUGGGGAAUCUUAGACAAUGGGCGCAAGCCUGAUCUAGCCAUGCCGCGUGAUCGAUGAAGGCCUUAGGGUUGUAAAGAUCUUUCAGGGGGGAAGAUAAUGACGGUACCCACAGAAGAAGCCCCGGCUAACUCCGUG
rnacentral:rRNA from 1 species